UACGUAGGGUGCGAGCGUUGUCCGGAAUUAUUGGGCGUAAAGAGCUCGUAGGCGGUGUGUCGCGUCGGCCGUGAAAACCCGCGGCUCAACUGUGGGCGGGCAGCUGAUACGGGCAGGCUGGAGUUCGGUAGGGGAGACUGGAAUUCCUGGUGUAGCGGUGAAAUGCGCAGAUAUCAGGAGGAACACCGGUGGCGAAGGCGGGUCUCUGGGCCGAAACUGACGCUGAGGAGCGAAAGCGUGGGGAGCAAACAGG
rnacentral:rRNA from 1 species